UACAGAGGGUGCAAGCGUUAAUCGGAAUUACUGGGCGUAAAGCGUGCGUAGUCGGUUAUUUAAGUCGGGUGUGAAAGCCCUGGGCUCAACCCAGGAAGUGCACUCGAAACUGGCGGGCUAGAGUAUCGGAGAGGUUGGUGGAAUUCUCGGUGUAGAGGUGAAAUUCGUAGAUAUCGAGAGGAACACCGGUGGCGAAGGCGGGUCUCUGGGCCGUAACUGACGCUGAGGAGCGAAAGCGUGGGGAGCGAACAGG
rnacentral:rRNA from 1 species